CGCGUAGGCGGCGGGGCAAGUCGGGUGUGAAAUCUCAGAGCUCAACUCUGAAACUGCACUCGAUACUGCUUUGCUUGAGGACUGGAGAGGAGAUUGGAAUUCACGGUGUAGCAGUGAAAUGCGUAGAUAUCGUGAGGAAGACCAGUGGCGAAGGCGGAUCUCUGGACAGUUCCUGACGCUGAGGCGCGAAGGCCAGGGGAGCAAACG
rnacentral:rRNA from 1 species